CCCCCCCCCCCCCCCGAGCGGAGCGGUCCUCAGUGAAGGCAGAGAGUUAAGUAAGAAAGCAACCGCGGCAGAGUGCUCCUCGCUUAGCAUCAGCACUAACGAGUCGUCCUCUCCCCUCGCCCGUCCGCAAAGCGAUCCAUCAUUUAUUUCCAGAUCACCUGGUGAUCUGUAACACAGAAAGAAAAAAAAAAGAGAGAGAGAGAUUAAGGAAGGAGCCGCCGACACCGCUCCAUGCGCAAUACCUAUCGGCUGAUGUAGAAAAGAAAGCAUAAUCCACAUGUAUAUUGCCUUUAACGAAAGGUAUUUCCUUCGCCUUCCCUCCCUACAGUACCGGCAUGCUUUUGCUGAGGGCUGCGUUUGCACAGUCGCCAGUAAUUACACGCGUGUGUCCGCCGGGAGAACGAAGGUUGGGAAGGUGGGAGGUAGGACGUGAUUCCUCUUUGGAGCAAUCAGGACUGGGAAAGGUUUCAUUCCGUGCAGACGUUGCCUUUGCUAGAUGGUGUCUCCCUUCGUGAGGAAUGGUGCUAAAAGUGGAUGGAAUCUGUUAAAGACACUGCUCUGCAUAUGGAAUUAUGGCAGAACUGACACUGACUAAGCCGUCCAAAAGCAUGCCCAGGAGAGGUGCAGAAACCUGUUCAGUAGUUCAGGCAGCGAUGACUUC
ensembl:lncRNA